rnacentral:rRNA from 1 species
UACAGAGGUCUCAACCGUUGUUCGGAUUCAUUGGGCGUAAAGGGUGCGUAGGCGGUCGCGCAAGUCGGAUGUGAAAUCUCAGGGCUCAACCCUGAAACUGCAUUCGAUACUGCGUGGCUAGAGUGCUGGAGGGGAGACUGGAAUUUACGGUGUAGCAGUGAAAUGCGUAGAUAUCGUAAGGAAGACCAGUGGCGAAGGCGGCUUUCUGGUCCAAUACUGACGCUCAUGUGCGAAAGCGUGGGGAGCAAACAGG